UACAGAGGUGGCAAGCGUUGUUCGGAAUUACUGGGCGUAAAGGGCGCGUAGGCGGUUCGUUAAGUCCUGUGUGAAAUCCCCCGGCUCAACUGGGGAACUGCACAGGAAACUGGCGGGCUUGAGUUCGGGAGAGGGAAGCGGAAUUCCGGGUGUAGCGGUGGAAAUGGCGUAGAUAUCCGGGAGGAACACCGGGUGGCGAAGGCGGCUUCCUGGACCGAUACUGACG
rnacentral:rRNA from 1 species